UGUGGGAGCGGGCUUGCUCGCGAUAGGAUCGCUGCGGCUUUUCAGAUGAACCGAAUCGCCAGCAUCGCGGGCAAGCCCGCUCCCACA
rnacentral:misc_RNA from 1 species